rfam:Octopus bimaculoides Scaffold113506_contig_47, whole genome shotgun sequence.
AUACUUGCUAUGGCAGUAUAAACAUUAAAAUUGGAACGAUAUAGAGAAGACUAACAUGGCCCCUACGCCAGAAUGACACCUAAAUUCGUGAAGGGUCCUAUAACUUU